CUCAGGUAUUUUGUCACAGUGAUGGAAAGUGUAUUAACUCAGAACAUAAUCAGUAAAUAUAUGACUUGCUUUUUUUUUUUUUGCUUUUUUUUCUCAUUGAGUUUAUUGGUACAUUUUAGAAAUAUAGUAUAGUUACAUUCAUCAUUGGGAUCUUGUACCUUUACGUGACAAGUCUUGAUUCUCAUUUUUUCCCCUUAUCCCUGCCCUCCCUUCACCCCCUCCUCCCUUCAUAUUUACAAAUACUUUAUUUCCAUUUUUUCAUUUUCUCAUAUUUUCCCUUAUUACCUUUCCCCUACCCUACCCACUUCACCUACACCUUUAGCCCUUUUCUUCCCUUUUUACAUUGUCAGUUAUAUCAUUAAGAUCUUAUGUACCAUUACAGUUUUUCACACCAGAGAAACUAUUUGGUAUUUAUACAUGUGUGACUUAUUUAUUUCACUUAGGAGUAUAUCCUCAAAAUGUAUCCAUUUUCCUAUGAAUGACUCUAAUUUCUCAUUUAUAGCGGCACAGUUUGUAAUAGCUAAAACUUAUUUUUGCUUUUGAAGGGAAUUGGUAUGUUGGCCAGGCUGGUCCCAAACUCCCAGGCUCAAGUGAUUCUCCUGCCGCAUCUUCCCAAGUAGCAGAGGCUGUAAGCAGAGCCGUUACCCCUGGAUCCUAUCUCUUGAUAUUUUGAUAUAAUGGGAUACAUGCAGCAGCAGCUGGCUCUGCUCCUUUUUCUUUGUCCUGUACAGAAAUGAUAUAUGGCUUGCAACAGCCACCUUGUUACCAUCCACUGGCAAACAACACAGAAGCCAGCCCACAGAGGCCGGCAGAGGAGAAUGACAGAGCAGCUGGACUGAUGCGGACGAUUGCUGGCCACUGCACACCUCUGGAUCUCUUGGCUGACCUGACUGGCCCUGAAGUCAACCUGGGAGGACCAUCCUGGAACCCCGAAGGACACCACCACUCAGGACAGAAUGACGGAACUGGCUAAAGUUAUGCAUUUCCCAAGAAUAAGAAACAAAUCUGAGGAGCCGUCUGGGUGUUCUUUGCACUCUGCUCAGAAAGUCACAGGGCAGCCAUCCUGUCCUGCAACUCCACACCAACUUCUCAGAGCUUACUCAAGACCCAGUGACUCUUAGGAGGAGGAGCUUGGAUUGGCUCAUGGGACUUCUUCCAAGCUGAGCCCUUCCACGCUCACUUUUAGGAUGAGACGGUCCUCAC
ensembl:lincRNA